rnacentral:rRNA from 1 species
AGCGUACACGGUGGAUGCCCUGGCAGUCAGAGGCGAUGAAGGACGUGCUAAUCUGCGAUAAGCGUCGGUAAGGUGAUAUGAACCGUUAUAACCGGCGAUUUCCGAAUGGGGAAACCCAGUGUGUUUCGACACACUAUCAUUAACUGAAUCCAUAGGUUAAUGAGGCGAACCGGGGGAACUGAAACAUCUAAGUACCCCGAGGAAAAGAAAUCAACCGAGAUUCCCCCAGUAGCGGCGAGCGAACGGGGAGGAGCCCAGAGCCUGAAUCAGUGUGUGUGUUAGUGGAAGCGUCUGGAAAGGCGCGCGAUACAGGGUGACAGCCCCGUACACAAAAAUGCACAUGCUGUGAGCUCGAUGAGUAGGGCGGGACACGUGGUAUCCUGUCUGAAUAUGGGGGGACCAUCCUCCAAGGCUAAAUACUCCUGACUGACCGAUAGUGAACCAGUACCGUGAGGGAAAGGCGAAAAGAACCCCGGCGAGGGGAGUGAAAAAGAACCUGAAACCGUGUACGUACAAGCAGUGGGAGCACGCUUAGGCGUGUGACUGCGUACCUUUUGUAUAAUGGGUCAGCGACUUAUAUUCUGUAGCAAGGUUAACCGAAUAGGGGAGCCGAAGGGAAACCGAGUCUUAACUGGGCGUUAAGUUGCAGGGUAUAGACCCGAAACCCGGUGAUCUAGCCAUGGGCAGGUUGAAGGUUGGGUAACACUAACUGGAGGACCGAACCGACUAAUGUUGAAAAAUUAGCGGAUGACUUGUGGCUGGGGGUGAAAGGCCAAUCAAACCGGGAGAUAGCUGGUUCUCCCCGAAAGCUAUUUAGGUAGCGCCUCGUGAACUCAUCUCCGGGGGUAGAGCACUGUUUCGGCAAGGGGGUCAUCCCGACUUACCAACCCGAUGCAAACUGCGAAUACCGGAGAAUGUUAUCACGGGAGACACACGGCGGGUGCUAACGUCCGUCGUGAAGAGGGAAACAACCCAGACCGCCAGCUAAGGUCCCAAAGUCAUGGUUAAGUGGGAAACGAUGUGGGAAGGCCCAGACAGCCAGGAUGUUGGCUUAGAAGCAGCCAUCAUUUAAAGAAAGCGUAAUAGCUCACUGGUCGAGUCGGCCUGCGCGGAAGAUGUAACGGGGCUAAACCAUGCACCGAAGCUGCGGCAGCGACGCUGAUGCGUUGUUGGGUAGGGGAGCGUUCUGUAAGCCUGCGAAGGUGUGCUGUGAGGCAUGCUGGAGGUAUCAGAAGUGCGAAUGCUGACAUAAGUAACGAUAAAGCGGGUGAAAAGCCCGCUCGCCGGAAGACCAAGGGUUCCUGUCCAACGUUAAUCGGGGCAGGGUGAGUCGACCCCUAAGGCGAGGCCGAAAGGCGUAGUCGAUGGGAAACAGGUUAAUAUUCCUGUACUUGGUGUUACUGCGAAGGGGGGACGGAGAAGGCUAUGUUGGCCGGGCGACGGUUGUCCCGGUUUAAGCGUGUAGGCUGGUUUUCCAGGCAAAUCCGGAAAAUCAAGGCUGAGGCGUGAUGACGAGGCACUACGGUGCUGAAGCAACAAAUGCCCUGCUUCCAGGAAAAGCCUCUAAGCAUCAGGUAACAUCAAAUCGUACCCCAAACCGACACAGGUGGUCAGGUAGAGAAUACCAAGGCGCUUGAGAGAACUCGGGUGAAGGAACUAGGCAAAAUGGUGCCGUAACUUCGGGAGAAGGCACGCUGAUAUGUAGGUGAAGUCCCUCGCGGAUGGAGCUGAAAUCAGUCGAAGAUACCAGCUGGCUGCAACUGUUUAUUAAAAACACAGCACUGUGCAAACACGAAAGUGGACGUAUACGGUGUGACGCCUGCCCGGUGCCGGAAGGUUAAUUGAUGGGGUCAGCGCAAGCGAAGCUCUUGAUCGAAGCCCCGGUAAACGGCGGCCGUAACUAUAACGGUCCUAAGGUAGCGAAAUUCCUUGUCGGGUAAGUUCCGACCUGCACGAAUGGCGUAAUGAUGGCCAGGCUGUCUCCACCCGAGACUCAGUGAAAUUGAACUCGCUGUGAAGAUGCAGUGUACCCGCGGCAAGACGGAAAGACCCCGUGAACCUUUACUAUAGCUUGACACUGAACAUUGAGCCUUGAUGUGUAGGAUAGGUGGGAGGCUUUGAAGUGUGGACGCCAGUCUGCAUGGAGCCGACCUUGAAAUACCACCCUUUAAUGUUUGAUGUUCUAACGUUGACCCGUAAUCCGGGUUGCGGACAGUGUCUGGUGGGUAGUUUGACUGGGGCGGUCUCCUCCUAAAGAGUAACGGAGGAGCACGAAGGUUGGCUAAUCCUGGUCGGACAUCAGGAGGUUAGUGCAAUGGCAUAAGCCAGCUUGACUGCGAGCGUGACGGCGCGAGCAGGUGCGAAAGCAGGUCAUAGUGAUCCGGUGGUUCUGAAUGGAAGGGCCAUCGCUCAACGGAUAAAAGGUACUCCGGGGAUAACAGGCUGAUACCGCCCAAGAGUUCAUAUCGACGGCGGUGUUUGGCACCUCGAUGUCGGCUCAUCACAUCCUGGGGCUGAAGUAGGUCCCAAGGGUAUGGCUGUUCGCCAUUUAAAGUGGUACGCGAGCUGGGUUUAGAACGUCGUGAGACAGUUCGGUCCCUAUCUGCCGUGGGCGCUGGAGAACUGAGGGGGGCUGCUCCUAGUACGAGAGGACCGGAGUGGACGCAUCACUGGUGUUCGGGUUGUCAUGCCAAUGGCACUGCCCGGUAGCUAAAUGCGGAAGAGAUAAGUGCUGAAAGCAUCUAAGCACGAAACUUGCCCCGAGAUGAGUUCUCCCUGACUCCUUGA